UAAUAAGGAAGUUCUGCUAAAAGCAGGCACGUCCUGUGCCUAACGCAGAACCUAGCGCAUCGUGCGCA
rfam:Aneurinibacillus migulanus strain DSM 2895 scaffold4, whole genome shotgun sequence.